UUCAAAUGUCAGAUUAUAAAA
rnacentral:miRNA from 1 species